rnacentral:rRNA from 1 species
GACAGAGGGUGCAAACGUUGCUCGGAAUUACUGGGCGUAAAGGGCGUGUAGGCGGGAAGGCAAGUCGGGCGUGAAAGCCCGGAGCUCAACUCCGGAACUGCCAUUGAAACUGUUUAGCUUGAGGACGAGAGAGGUGAGUGGAAUUCCCAGUGUAGAGGUGAAAUUCGUAGAUAUUGGGAAGAACACCGGUGGCGAAGGCGGCUCACUGGCUCGUAUCUGACGCUCAGGCGCGACAGCGUGGGGAUCAAACAGG